UCUUGCUCUCACUAAUCGCUCCAAUUGCAUUUCUCAUCUAUAGAGCACUUUAGCCAUAAUGCCCUAGGAUGGACGGAAGUACCACUAUGGCUUCUUUUACGGAUGGACCAACAAAAGCAGGUGAAGCGACUCACCCGAGAGAAACCCAACCCCUCUGCUUGUGAGCGUGAGCCUGCAGCCAGUCGCCUGCCUGCCCUCCCCGUAUUGGCAUGCUGCAAGAAAGAAGCUGAGUUGGAACAGCUGCUGGAAUUACUAGGAGCUGGUGGCUGGCAGGAGCGCAUGCCUUGCCCCAGACUUGAUGCUACAAAUGGGUGCCUGGGGGACUACAUUUCCCAGCCUGCCUUGCUUUGUGGUUAAGAGAGAGAGGAGAACAGCUGGAGCCAUCCUGAGCCAGCAUGGUCCCAUCAUCGCUGAUGGGAGUUCCAGGCAACUCCUGCUUAUGGAGCUGCAGCUUCAGGCAGCCUUAAGCCACAACUACUUCCCAGAGAUUGAGGUCUCCCACUCAGUGACCAACCACCUUCCCUACUCCAGCAGCAUUUUUAAAGGCAACCCUGGACCAGACUCACAGGCUCCUCACCAAGAAAGUAAAGAGCUAGAGACAUGAGAGGCCCAUGCCAGUGACAAGCCAGUGCCUCGACUGUCAGCCGUUUAUUCCAAUUCCCAGUAUCUACAAGAACAGCACUGGCCAAACUGGAAUAACAUCGGGGACAAAGUAAUGAUGCGUAUCAUUGCCAGUGACUUAAAGGAUGA